GACGAACGUUGGCGGCGUGCUUAACACAUGCAAGUCGAACGGAAAGGCCCUGCUUUUGUGGGGUGCUCGAGUGGCGAACGGGUGAGUAACACGUGAGUAACCUGCCCUUGACUUUGGGAUAACUUCAGGAAACUGGGGCUAAUACCGGAUAGGAGCUCCUGCUGCAUGGUGGGGGUUGGAAAGUUUCGGCGGUUGGGGAUGGACUCGCGGCUUAUCAGCUUGUUGGUGGGGUAGUGGCUUACCAAGGCUUUGACGGGUAGCCGGCCUGAGAGGGUGACCGGCCACAUUGGGACUGAGAUACGGCCCAGACUCCUACGGGAGGCAGCAGUGGGGAAUAUUGCACAAUGGGCGGAAGCCUGAUGCAGCAACGCCGCGUGCGGGAUGACGGCCUUCGGGUUGUAAACCGCUUUCGCCUGUGACGAAGCGUGAGUGACGGUAAUGGGUAAAGAAGCACCGGCUAACUACGU
rnacentral:rRNA from 1 species